UACGUAGGGUGCAAGCGUUAAUCGGAAUUACUGGGCGUAAAGCGUGCGCAGGCGGCCUCUUAAGUCAGAUGUGAAAUCCCCGGGCUUAACCUGGGAACUGCGUUUGAAACUGGGAGGCUUGAGUGUGGAAGAGGGGGGUGGAAUUCCAGGUGUAGCAGUGAAAUGCGUAGAGAUGUGGAGGAACACCGAUGGCGAAGGCAGCCCCCUGGGUUAACACUGACGCUCAGGCACGAAAG
rnacentral:rRNA from 1 species